rnacentral:rRNA from 1 species
UACGAAGGGUGCAAGCGUUGUUCGGAAUCACUGGGCGUAAAGCGUGUGUAGGCGGCUUCUCAAGUCGGGUGUGAAAUCCCAGGGCUCAACCCUGGAAGUGCAUUCGAAACUGGGUAGCUAGAGUACUGGAGAGGAAGGUGGAAUGCUUGGUGUAGAGGUGAAAUUCGUAGAUAUCAAGCGGAACACCGGUGGCGAAGGCGGCCUUCUGGACAGAUACUGACGCUGAGACACGAAAGCGUGGGGAGCAAACAGG